AUUAAAUCUACCGAAGCAGCAAGAUGGUGUGGAUCUCCAGUAAAGUUCUCAUCGUGCUGUCUGUUCUUCUCUUUCAAAACUCGUCAGCAGUGAUGCAAAGCAAAACGUGCGAGGAUAUAAGUUGUCCAGAUGGCUCAGUGUGUCGCCAGUAUACCACAGCGUGUGUCACUGCCCCCUGUCCACAGUCUGAACCUGAGUGUGUCGUCCAAGCCUCAGGCAAGCCAG